rnacentral:rRNA from 1 species
UCGAUUCCCUUAGUAGCGGCGAGCGAAACGGGAAGAGCCCAAACCAACAAGCUUGCUUGUUGGGGUUGUAGGACACUCUAUACGGAGUUACAAAGGACGACAUUAGACGAAUCAUCUGGAAAGAUGAAUCAAAGAAGGUAAUAAUCCUGUAGUCGAAAAUGUUGUCUCUCUUGAGUGGAUCCUGAGUACGACGGAGCACGUGAAAUUCCGUCGGAAUCUGGGAGGACCAUCUCCUAAGGCUAAAUACUCUCUAGUGACCGAUAGUGAACCAGUACCGUGAGGGAAAGGUGAAAAGCACCCCGGAAGGGGAGUGAAAUAGAACCUGAAACCGUGUGCUUACAAGUAGUCAGAGCCCGUUAAUGGGUGAUGGCGUGCCUUUUGUAGAAUGAACCGGCGAGUUACGAUUUGAUGCAAGGUUAAGCAGUAAAUGUGGAGCCGUAGCGAAAGCGAGUCUGAAUAGGGCGUUUAGUAUUUGGUCGUAGACCCGAAACCAGGUGAUCUACCCUUGGUCAGGUUGAAGUUCAGGUAACACUGAAUGGAGGACCGAACCGACUUACGUUGAAAAGUGAGCGGAUGAACUGAGGGUAGCGGAGAAAUUCCAAUCGAACCUGGAGAUAGCUGGUUCUCUCCGAAAUAGCUUUAGGGCUAGCCUCAAGUGAUGAUUAUUGGAGGUAGAGCACUGUUUGGACGAGGGGCCCCUCUCGGGUUACCGAAUUCAGACAAACUCCGAAUGCCAAUUAAUUUAACUUGGGAGUCAGAACAUGGGUGAUAAGGUCCGUGUUCGAAAGGGAAACAGCCCAGACCACCAGCUAAGGUCCCAAAAUAUAUGUUAAGUGGAAAAGGAUGUGGCGUUGCCCAGACAACUAGGAUGUUGGCUUAGAAGCAGCCAUCAUUUAAAGAGUGCGUAAUAGCUCACUAGUCGAGUGACACUGCGCCGAAAAUGUACCGGGGCUAAACAUAUUACCGAAGCUGUGGAUUGUCCUUUGGACAAUGGUAGGAGAGCGUUCUAAGGGCGUUGAAGCAUGAUCGUAAGGACAUGUGGAGCGCUUAGAAGUGAGAAUGCCGGUGUGAGUAGCGAAAGACGGGUGAGAAUCCCGUCCACCGAUUGACUAAGGUUUCCAGAGGAAGGCUCGUCCGCUCUGGGUUAGUCGGGUCCUAAGCUGAGGCCGACAGGCGUAGGCGAUGGAUAACAGGUUGAUAUUCCUGUACCACCUAUAAUCGUUUUAAUCGAUGGGGGGACGCAGUAGGAUAGGCGAAGCGUGCGAUUGGAUUGCACGUCUAAGCAGUAAGGCUGAGUAUUAGGCAAAUCCGGUACUCGUUAAGGCUGAGCUGUGAUGGGGAGAAGACAUUGUGUCUUCGAGUCGUUGAUUUCACACUGCCGAGAAAAGCCUCUAGAUAGAAAAUAGGUGCCCGUACCGCAAACCGACACAGGUAGUCAAGAUGAGAAUUCUAAGGUGAGCGAGCGAACUCUCGUUAAGGAACUCGGCAAAAUGACCCCGUAACUUCGGGAGAAGGGGUGCUCUUUAGGGUUAACGCCCAGAAGAGCCGCAGUGAAUAGGCCCAAGCGACUGUUUAUCAAAAACACAGGUCUCUGCUAAACCGUAAGGUGAUGUAUAGGGGCUGACGCCUGCCCGGUGCUGGAAGGUUAAGAGGAGUGGUUAGCUUCUGCGAAGCUACGAAUCGAAGCCCCAGUAAACGGCGGCCGUAACUAUAACGGUCCUAAGGUAGCGAAAUUCCUUGUCGGGUAAGUUCCGACCCGCACGAAAGGCGUAACGAUUUGGGCACUGUCUCAACGAGAGACUCGGUGAAAUCAUAG